rnacentral:lncRNA from 1 species
UCCAAAUAGACCCCCGGCAUCCUUCCCUUCAAGAACUUCCCACCUUGCUCUUGGGGAGACUCGAACUCACAACCUCUCGGUUGGAAGUGGGGAUUGCGUACCAUCAUAGCAACCCCUCUUGUCUUAUUCUAGCUGAUAGACCUCCUGAGAAAAAGUUUGAUUGGGUAAGCUUAACUACUCAUUGCAGCUGCACACGGCCACCUAAAUAUGGUUUAACUGGUCGUUGUUUCUUAUAAUGACUUCCUUUAAUUUAUUUUAUUUUUCUUACAUGGAUAUCUUACACUGCUGGCGUCACAGGCUAAGGUAUGAUUUCUUCUUGUAUUAUUGUUGGUUUUGAGAAUGAUUACAAUCAUGUAAACCUAGAAAUCGAUUUGGGCAAGAAAGAAAGAAGAUGAAGAAGACGAGAGGGAGCAGGGAGAAGAAAUGCUUAUCCGGAAACAAAGUUUUUUCCAUUUUUGGGCAUCAAAGACUUUUUAUUUUCCUUCUUUUGUUGCAUUUUUUUGGCUCCAAAACCACAUGUCAUAUUUUAAUUCGACUAGUCGUCAUGUCAGCCAUGAGUCAACUCCAUGCAUUUUGUUUCAUUUACAAUUUGCUAGUUUAGGUGUUCAAUAGGUCGAAUCCUAAGAUAAGAUAAAAAUCGGUGCCAAAUUCAAUGGGACGCCGAUGUAUUUGGCUGCAAAUGUUAAAAGUAAACUACAUGGUGUAGAAAUUUUUGAGGGCAAUAUGAGACAUGGAGUACAUAGUCUCAUUUGAUUUCCCCUAGCCCUCCCCAAAGCUGGAGAUGCUUUUAUGACAUCUUGAAUUGAUGCAUCUUACAUCUCUCACGUGAUUCCCUUCUUUAAAAGUAAUGUGGGGUUUCUUUUGAAUUUAUGAUGGUUUUGAUGGAGAGAUUUUAAGAAUUAGAUCCUAACUUUUAUCUGUCUUCUUUUUUUUUUGCAGAGUUUAUUGGCAAAAUAUGGGUCCUUGAUAUCUGUGGUGUCAUUUUGUAUACCUGGUGGCAUCCCCAUCAAAAUCCAAUGUUGCAAAGGGAAACAAAAAGAAACGCUGAAUGUCGGUUCCACAACUUGGUGUUUAUUCAAGCAAGGAUGCAUAUCAAGUUGUACACCUUCAGUUUUAGUUCUUUCGCAUCGUAGGUUGCCAGUUUAGAUUUACACUGUAAUGUCUGAGGAAUUGAUCAGUAAACUGAAUUGAUUUUCUCCGCAGGUUUGUAGGUUUCAGAUUCACUGUAAGAGAAUGUUGAACAUAGUCUUAGUCCUUAAACAAGUCGCUUGUUUCUUGAGCAACAACGACUCAUUUUUUUAUGGUUUCUUUCAGUGCUUUUUCUUUUUUUAAUGAAGCUGAGGAGAGAAGUUGUCACCUCUCUUUUUUGUCUUCUUGAGCCGAAAGUCUAUUGGAAACAGUCUCUUUGUCCCAUCG